rnacentral:rRNA from 1 species
UACGUAGGGUGCGAGCGUUGUCCGGAAUUAUUGGGCGUAAAGAGCUCGUAGGCGGUUUGUCGCGUCGGCCGUGAAAACUGGAGGCUUAACCUUCAGCUUGCGGUCGAUACGGGCAGACUUGAGUUCGGUAGGGGAGACUGGAAUUCCUGGUGUAGCGGUGAAAUGCGCAGAUAUCAGGAGGAACACCGGUGGCGAAGGCGGGUCUCUGGGCCGAUACUGACGCUGAGGAG